rnacentral:rRNA from 1 species
CCAGCAGCUGCGGUAAUACAGAGGUCUCAAGCGUUGUUCGGAAUCACUGGGCGUAAAGGGUGCGUAGGCUGCGCCGUAAGUCAGAUGUGAAAGCUCAGGGCUCAACCCUGAAAUUGCAUCCGAUACUGCGGUGCUUGAGAAAUGAAGGGGAGUCUAGAAUUUUCGGUGUAGCAGUGAAAUGCGUAGAUAUCGAAAGGAAUACCAAAGGCGAAGGCAGGACUCUGGGCAUUUUCUGACGCUGAUGCACGAAGGCCAGGGUAGCGAACGGGAUUAGAUACCCCGGUAGUCCUGGCAGUAAACGGUGCACGUUUGGUGUGGGAGGAUUCGACCCCUUCCGUGCCGGAGCUAACGCGUUAAACGUGCCGCCUGGGAAGUACGGUCGCAAGAUUAAAACUCAAAGAAAUUGACGGGGACCCGCACAAGCGGUGGAGUAUGUGGCUUAAUUCGAUGCAACGCGAAGAACCUUACCUGGGUUUGACAUGCACUGUGUCUCCGGUGAAAGCCGGAUAGGGUAGCAAUACCCGCUUUGCACG